GUGCCAGCCGCCGCGGUAAGACGAACCACACAAACGUUAUUCGGAAUUACUGGGCUUAAAGGGUGCGUAGGCGGCGCUAAAAGUUGGGUGUGAAAUCCCUCGGCUUAACCGAGGAACUGCGCCCAAUACUGUAGUGCUUGAGGAAGAUAGAGGUGAGCGGAACUUAGGGUGGAGCGGUGAAAUGCGUUGAUAUCCUAAGGAACACCCGUGGCGAAAGCGGCUCACUGGAUCUUAUCUGACGCUGAGGCACGAAAGCUAGGGUAGCGAACGGGAUUAGAAACCCUAGUAGUCC
rnacentral:rRNA from 1 species